rnacentral:tRNA from 1 species
ACCUGGCUGGCUCAGUGGGUAGAGCAUGUGACUCUCAAUCUCAGGGUGGUGAGUUUGAACCCCACAUUGGGUA